UAUGAGAAGGCCUUCGGGUUGUAAAGUACUUUCAGCGGGGAGGAAGGUGUUGAGGUUAAUAACCUCAGCAAUUGACGUUACCCGCAGAAGAAGCACCGGCUAACUCCGUGCCAGCAGCCGCGGUAAUACGGAGGGUGCAAGCGUUAAUCGGAAUUACUGGGCGUAAAGCGCACGCAGGCGGUCUGUCAAGUCGGAUGUGAAAUCCCCGGGCUCAACCUGGGAACUGCA
rnacentral:rRNA from 1 species